GUAUGGAUUAACUUUUUAUUUAUUAUGUUUGAGAUUCACUCUGCUUCUUCAUUCCUAUGUCAACAUCAAGGAUGUUGGUGGGGUCCACUCCACACGGUCACUCAGGAGCCCAGGAAAACAGAGGCUCCAUCACCCAAUAGUUGCACCACCUGGAAUAUGAAGUCUUUUAGGGGUUCUUCCUUUUGACAUUCUGGCUUUGAGUUCCGUCUUCUUUUCUGGAACUUGGGAGUUUCCCUUUUUUUCUUUUGAGCUCAGCUGUGUAUUAAAAACUUAUGUUACAGGGGCUGGCCCAGUGGCACAGCGGUUAAGUUCUCACGUCCCGUUUCUUGGCGGCCCAGGGUUCACUGGUUUAGAUCCUGGGUGCAGACAUGGCACCCCUUGGCAAAAACCAUGCUGUGGUAGGCAUCCCACAUAUAAAUUAGAGGAAAAUGGGCAUGGAUGUUAGCUCAGGGCCAGUCUUCCUCAGCAAAAAGAGGAGGAUUCACAGUAGUUAGCUCAGGGCUAAUCUUCCUCAAAAGAAAAAAAAUUUAUGUUACAAGGACCAGCCCAGUGGCGUAGUGGUUAAGUUUCCAUGUUCCACUUGGGCAGCCCUGAGUUUGUCAGUUUGGAUCCCGGGUGCAGACCUAUGCACCACUAAUCAAGCCAUGCUGUGGCAGGCGUCCCACACAUGAAGCAGAGGAAAAUGGGCACAGAUGUUAGCUCAGGGUUAAUCCUCCUUAAAAAAAAAAUCGUUACAUUUUCUACAACAUUUAUAUCCAUUUGAAGCAGAAGAACAUUUAUGCAAUUAAAGCUUAAUGUUGCCAGAAGUUGAAUAUUUUGAGAGGUUGUAUUCUAAAAUAUUUUAGAGCCCAACUUUCAAUUUUAUUUAUUUUCUGUAUGAAUUUACACCUCAGAGCCAACUGCUGGAGCACUUGGAUUCCGAACAUCCAAAAAUUAGUAUAUCCUACUUUUGCACAUUCUAGUUUUUCUUAUGUUGUCACUAUCCGUCAUCAAUCAGCUAUUCCUUUCUAUGUUUGCAAAUAUUUCCGAAGUCCAUCUUUGUAUUCCUAAUUGCCACAGUAGUUCAUUUUAUUUAAUAAUAACCAUCCAUGCAGGUCAUGAGUCAUCCUUCCAACAGAAAUUUAGCACUGACUACACAUGAGGUCUGGGCUAAGCCCCGGAAGGAGAGUAAUGAUUAACGUGUCUCAGAGACUGUCCCGAGUAGCACAGUCUUGUAGGAGAAACGUGAAACAUACGCCAAUAACCCCACUGCCAGGUGGACUGUGGUAACAGCUGAAGGCACUCAGGGGCGGAAAGCUCUAAGAAUUCAGAAAAGACACUCACCCACGGACGGGGGAACCAGAGAAGGCUUCAUGGAAGUAGCCUUUGUACUGGUACUGAAGGAUGAUGUGUUAGUUUUCUACUGUUGCCAUAACAAACUACCAUGAAUUUAGUGCAUUAAAACACCUUGUAAUGUACAGCAUGGUGACUGCAGUUAAUAUAUUGUAUUGCAUAGUUGAAAGUUGCUAAGAGAGUUAUUACCCCACAGUUCUGUUGGUCAGAAGUACGAGUAUGCUGUGGCUCUGCUGGGUCCUCUGCUUAGAGUGUCCUAAGGUCAAAAAGAAGGUGCUGGUAGGGCUACAUUCCUUUCUGGAGGCUCUGGGGAUGAACCUGCUUCCAAGCUCACUCAAGUCAUUUUCUGGAUUCAGGUCCUUUUGGUGGUAGGACUGAGGUCCCAUUUCUUUGCUGACUGUCAGCUAAGGACCUGUCUUUGCUCCUAGAGGUCACCCACAUUCCUCCUCAUGCUUUCCAUGUGACCCCCUUCAGCAAUGGUGGUUGAGUCUGUCUCACGCUUUGAAUCUCCUUCUUCCCCCAGCUGGAGGAAUUUCUCUGCUUUUAAGGGCUCAUGUGGUUAUAUUGGGCCCACCUGGAUAAUUCAGGCUCAUCUCCCUAUUUUCAAGUCUGUAACCUACAUUCCAUCUACAAAGUUCCUUUUGCCAUACAAGCUAAAAAAUGUAUAGGAUCUAGGGAUUAGGGCACGGACAUCUUUGGAGAGCCAUUAUCCUGCCUACCACCGUGGGCAGAAUUGACGUCUGAGCCAUGCCAGAGAGCGCUUCAGGCAAAGGGAAUGGAAAGAACAAACCUUGGAGGCAGGAGACCACGUGCAAGGAGCAGUGAGAACAGCCAGCCUUUCCCUGGGUGUAAACCAGCCAGCGUCUUCCAAAUGGCCACACCUCCUUCCCUUUUCUCUCCUAGGAAAGGAGGAGAUGAAGGGUGCUGCACAUGUUUGUCUCUCUGUCAGGUACUUCUUGACAGUGAAGAAGGAGGCCAAGCUUGGGAGUCAUGGCUCUGGGUUCAAUGUAACUUCUCCACUUACAAGAGACCCAUCUAUUCUACGCAUUGGGCCACAGCCCCUUAAAGGGGGUGCCUGGGAUGGACAGAUGAUGAGCGUGCAUACGUCUCAAGAGCAUUUACAGAGCAAGGAGCAGCAAUACCUUAACCGGUGCACUGACUAUUGGCCUCAUCAUUUUGGGAAAGCUCCUCUGUGAACAAAAUGGACAGUCCCUAGGUCCACAGUCUAUUAUCUACAAUUCUGAAGUCAAAAAAGCUCCAAAAAUUGUAUGGUUGGUGUCAAAACUCAUUUGGAGCAAAACCUGUCCAGAGGUGGCAUACAACUAUAUUUAGGAAGACUAAUGAUGCGCUGCUCUGGACUCUGCUGGGGUUGUUACAUGAUAUAUUGUACAUGCACCACGUUGCCUUUCUACUGUCUGAAGAAUUCUGAAUUCCGAAACA
ensembl:lncRNA